UAUCCGGGUUGAGGACAGUGCCUGGUGGGUAGUUUGACUGGGGCGGUCUCCUCCCAAAGAGUAACGGAGGAGCACGAAGGUGGGCUAAUCACGGUUGGACAUCGUGAGGUUAGUGCAAUGGCAUAAGCCCGCUUAACUGCGAGAAUGACGGUUCGAGCAGGUGCGAAAGCAGGUCAUAGUGAUCCGGUGGUUCUGUAUGGAAGGGCCAUCGCUCAACGGAUAAAAGGUACUCCGGGGAUAACAGGCUGAUACCGCCCAAGAGUUCAUAUCGACGGCGGUGUUUGGCACCUCGAUGUCGGCUCAUCACAUCCUGGGGCUGAAGUCGGUCCCAAGGGUAUGGCUGUUCGCCAUUUAAAGUGGUACGCGAGCUGGGUUUAGAACGUCGUGAGACAGUUCGGUCCCUAUCUGCCGU
rnacentral:rRNA from 1 species